rnacentral:rRNA from 1 species
CAGUCGCCGCGGGAAUACGGAGGAUCCAAGCGUUAUCCGGAAUCAUUGGGUUUAAAGGGUCCGUAGGCGGUCUUGUAAGUCAGUGGUGAAAGCCCAUCGCUCAACGGUGGAACGGCCAUUGAUACUGCAGGACUUGAAUUAUUGGGAAGUAACUAGAAUAUGUAGUGUAGCGGUGAAAUGCUUAGAGAUUACAUGGAAUACCAAUUGCGAAGGCAGGUUACUACCAAUUGAUUGACGCUGAUGGACGAAAGCGUGGGUAGCGAACAGGAUUAGAUACCCCUGUAGUCCCUGUCUCUUAUAC